rnacentral:rRNA from 1 species
UACGUAGGGGGCAAGCGUUAUCCGGAAUUACUGGGUGUAAAGGGAGCGUAGACGGUAAUGUAAGUCUGGAGUGAAAGGCGGGGGCCCAACCCCCGGACUGCUCUGGAAACUAUGUUACUAGAGUGCAGGAGAGGUAAGCGGAAUUCCUAGUGUAGCGGUGAAAUGCGUAGAUAUUAGGAGGAACACCAGUGGCGAAGGCGGCUCACUGGACUGUAACUGACGUUGAGGCUCGAAAGCGUGGGGAGCAAACAGG